rnacentral:piRNA from 1 species
UCACCUAUUGGUUGUUGGGCAGGGGCUGU